GAUGGACGCUGACAGAAUGCUUAACACAUGCAAGUCAACUUGAACUUCGGUUUGGGUGGCGGACGGGUGAAUAACGCGUAAAGAACUUGCCUCACAGUUAGGGACAACAUUUGGAAACGAAUGCUAAUACCUAAUAUUAUGAUUUUAGGGCAUCCUAGAAUUAUGAAAGCUAUAUGCGCUGUGAGAGAGCUUUGCGUCCCAUUAGCUAGUUGGAGAGGUAACGGCUCACCAAGGCGAUGAUGGGUAGCCGGCCUGAGAGGGUGAUCGGCCACAAGGGGACUGAGACACGGCCCUUACUCCUACGGGAGGCAGCAGUGGGGAAUAUUGGACAAUGGACCAAGAGUCUGAUCCAGCAAUUCUGUGUGCACGAUGAAGUUUUUCGGAAUGUAAAGUGCUUUCAGUUGGGAAGAAAAAAAUGACGGUACCAACAGAAGAAGUGACGGCUAAAUACGUGCCAGCAGCCGCGGUAAUACGUAUGUCACAAGCGUUAUCCGGAUUUAUUGGGCGUAAAGCGCGUCUAGGUGGUUAUAUAAGUCUGAUGUGAAAAUGCAGGGCUCAACUCUGUAUUGCGUUGGAAACUGUGUAACUAGAGUACUGGAGAGGUAAGCGGAACUACAAGUGUAGAGGUGAAAUUCGUAGAUAUUUGUAGGAAUGCCGAUGGGGAAGCCAGCUUACUGGACAGAUACUGACGCUGAAGCGCGAAAGCGUGGGUAGCAAACAGG
rnacentral:rRNA from 1 species